rnacentral:rRNA from 1 species
UACGUAGGUGACAAGCGUUGUCCGGAUUUACUGGGCGUAAAGAGCGUGUAGGCGGCCAGAUAGGUCAGCUGUGAAAACUCGAGGCUCAACCUCGAGACGUCGGUUGAAACCAUCUGGCUAGAGUCCGGAAGAGGAGUGUGGAAUUCCCGGUGUAGCGGUGAAAUGCGCAGAUAUCGGGAAGAACACCCGUGGCGAAGGCGGCACUCUGGGACGGUACUGACGCUGAGACGCGAAAGCGUGGGGAGCGAACAGG